rnacentral:lncRNA from 1 species
CACAGAUACAACAAGGUAUAUUUACACUUGCAGAAACUUUUAGGAUUUGUAACCGACUUACAAAGCAGGGGGGCUGUAAAAUAUUCUUGACGCAUGCGCGCCAAUGCGUUGUAAAUCAGUACCAAAUCCUAAAUAUUUUUGUAAAAAAAAAUAACUUAAGAAAUAUAAAUUAUUUAAUAAAUAUAUUCAAUAACGACGACA